rnacentral:tRNA from 1 species
GGAGGGUUGUCAGAGCGGCCGAAUGAGUUGGUCUUGAAAACCAAUGUGCGGUCACCCCGUACCGCGGGUUCGAAUCCCGCACCCUCCG